rnacentral:rRNA from 1 species
GACGAACGCUGGCGGCGUGCUUAACACAUGCAAGUCGAACGGAAAGGCCCUGCUUUUGUGGGGUGCUCGAGUGGCGAACGGGUGAGUAACACGUGAGUAACCUGCCCUUGACUUUGGGAUAACUUCAGGAAACUGGGGCUAAUACCGGAUAGGAGCUCCUGCUGCAUGGGGGGGGUGGGAAGGUUUCGGCGGUUGGGGAUGGACUCGCGGCUUAUCAGCUUGUUGGUGGGGUAGUGGAUUACCAAGGCUUUGACGGGUAGCCGGCCUGAGAGGGUGACCGGCCACAUUGGGACUGAGAUACGGCCCAGACUCCUACGGGAGGCAGCAGUGGGGAAUAUUGCACAAUGGGCGGAAGCCUGAUGCAGCAACGCCGCGUGCGGGAUGACGGCCUUCGGGUUGUAAACCGCUUUCGCCUGUGACGAAGCGUGAGUGACGGUAAUGGGUAAAGAAGCACCGGCUAACUACGUG